CUCAGGGACUGACCCCACACCUGCCCUGGGCCUGUCCCCACUGCUGUGCCCUCGCUGGGACAGAAAUGUCCUGCUCAGCUGCUGUGCACACACCUGAACCCUCAGCUCCGUGCAAACCCACACCUGAGCUCUGUGCCUGUCAGGGCCUGCACCGUCCUUUAUUUGAUGCUCAGGCAUCAAGCAGGAAUGCUGGCCCCUGGAGAAGCUGUUCCAUCAGAGAUUUCAUCCUAGAGAGGGUUUUUG
rnacentral:lncRNA from 12 species